UGGAGAACGCUUCCUCCCAGCCUCACACGUGGCCGGCCUCCACGGGAGGGACGGGAGCGAGGUUCUUACCAGGAUUUCGCCCAGCUCGUCCUCAUCGCAGUCAGCAGGCUCCUUCCCCAGGCGUGCUCUGGUUGGCUAGCACAGAGACACAGACGUGUCACAAGAAGGAGCCUCGUGUGUGGGACAAGGUGACAGCAGUGCGUCCACCCCGUGUGAGCUAGAGGAAGGUGCUGCCAAGAGCUCAUGCUUUCUCCUUGGGAAGACCCUGGCAGCCUCUGAUCUGGAGACAAACGACCGUGUGCAUGGCCUCCUCACUUUCCCACCUGUCCUGUCUCUUGGGCACUGCUUUACAGUCCUCAGCCAUGACCCCUGGGUGACCCCUGGACGACCUGCCCCCGCCGCACAGCCAUGACCCCUGGGUGACCCCUGGACGACCUGCCCCUGCCGCACAGCCAUGACCCCUGGGCGACCCCUGGACGACCUGCCCCCGCCGCACCAGGAUGAGCUGGAUCUCGUCCCUGUCGCACUUCACGUGGUGGCGACCCCCACGAUCUCCUCCUUCUUGUUGACAAUGGGCAUGGAUAGCACAUUCUUGAUGAGCCACCCGGAGUCAUCCAGGGCCCCUUCCUGCGGGAGCGGUGUCCAGAGCUGAGCUCCGCCCUGAGGCUGGCCCUGACCCAGUGUGGCCGGGGAGAGUGACCUCACGUCUUCUCCCCUAGAGCCGUGACAACUGGACUCUCAUUCCUGUCUCUGCUCUCUGCAUUCCCUCUCUCCCGCUCUCCCUCUUUGCAUUUGGAGUUUAUGUCCAUGGUUUUUGUGUCAUGAUAUUUUCCCACUGGAGGAGGUAGAGGCCGUUUUCCCACCAGGGGUGGUUUCACGGAUGUGUGUGGGGGGGCUGCGGUCACGGCCUCAGGGGCGUGUGUGGGGGCUGCGGUCACGGU